rnacentral:rRNA from 1 species
GGCCUUGACAUACUAAGAACUUUCCAGAGAUGGAUUGGUGCCUUCGGGAACUUAGAUACAGGUGCUGCAUGGCUGUCGUCAGCUCGUGUCAUGAGAUGUUGGGUUAAGUCCCGCAACGAGCGCAACCCUUUUCCUUAUUGCCAGCGGGUUAAGCCGGGAACUUUAAGGAUACUGCCAGUGACAAACUGGAGGAAGGCGGGGACGACGUCAAGUCAUCAUGGCCCUUACGGCCAGGGCUACACACGUGCUACAAUGGUCGGUACAAAGGGUUGCUACCUCGCGAGAGGAUGCUAAUCUCAAAAAGCCGAUCGUAGUCCGGAUCGCAGUCUGCAACUCGACUGCGUGAAGUCGGAAUCGCUAGUAAUCGCGGAUCAGAAUGCCGCGGUGAAUACGUUCCCGGGCCUUGUACACACCGCCCGUCACACCAUGGGAGUUUGUUGCACCAGAAGUAGGUAGUCUAACCGCAAGGAGGACGCUUACCACGGUGUGGCCGAUGACUGGGGUGAAGUCGUAACAAGGUAAGCGUAGAUGA